GAUGAACGCUGGCGGCGUGCCUAAUACAUGCAAGUCGAGCGAACAGACGAGGAGCUUGCUCCUCUGGCGUUAGCGGCGGACGGGUGAGUAACACGUGGAUAACCUACCUAUAAGACUGGGAUAACUUCGGGAAACCGGAGCUAAUACCGGAUAAUAUAUUGAACCGCAUGGUUCAAUAGUGAAAGACGGUUUUGCUGUCACUUAUAGAUGGAUCCGCGCCGCAUUAGCUAGUUGGUAAGGUAACGGCUUACCAAGGCAACGAUGCGUAGCCGACCUGAGAGGGUGAUCGGCCACACUGGAACUGAGACACGGUCCAGACUCCUACGGGAGGCAGCAGUAGGGAAUCUUCCGCAAUGGGCGAAAGCCUGACGGAGCAACGCCGCGUGAGUGAUGAAGGUCUUCGGAUCGUAAAACUCUGUUAUUAGGGAAGAACAAAUGUGUAAGUAACUAUGCACGUCUUGACGGUACCUAAUCAGAAAGCCACGGCUAACUACG
rnacentral:rRNA from 1 species